rnacentral:rRNA from 1 species
AGCGAACGCUGGCGGCAGGCCUAACACAUGCAAGUCGAGCGCCCCGCAAGGGGAGCGGCAGACGGGAGAGUAACACAUGGGAACGUACCCUUCAGUUCGGAACAACCCAGGGAAACUUGGGCUAAUACCGGAUACGUCCGUAAGGAGAAAGAUUCAUCGCUGAAGGGUCGGGCCGCGUAUGAUUAGCUUGGUGGUGAGGUAACGGCUCACCAAGGCUACGAUCAGUAGCUGGUCUGAGAGGAUGAACAGCCGCACUGGGACUGAGACACGGGCCAGACUCCUACGGGAGGCAGCAGUGGGGAGUAUUGGACAAUGGGCGCAAGCCUGAUCCAGCCAUGCCGCGUGGAUGAUGAAGGCCCUAGGGUUGUAAAGUCCUUUCGGCGGGGAAGAUAAUGACGGUACCCGCAGAAGAAGCCCCGGCUAACUUCGUGCCAGCCGCCGCAGUAAAAC